AAAUAAGAAACAAUAAGUUGUAUUUAGUUUCGACCUAAAAUUUUGGUUUAUUAAACCCUUAUUUA
rnacentral:tRNA from 1 species